UUUAGAUCCUGGCGUCAGAUUGUAACGCUGGCGGCAUGCUUUACACAUGCAAGUCGAACGGCAGCACGGACUUCGGUCUGGUGGCGAGUGGCGAACGGGUGAGUAAUACAUCGGAACGUGCCCAGUUGUGGGGGAUAACUACUCGAAAGAGUAGCUAAUACCGCAUGAGAACUGAGGUUGAAAGCAGGGGAUCGUAAGACCUUGCGCAACUGGAGCGGCCGAUGGCAGAUUAGGUAGUUGGUGGGAUAAAAGCUUACCAAGCCGACGAUCUGUAGCUGGUCUGAGAGGACGACCAGCCACACUGGGACUGAGACACGGCCCAGACUCCUACGGGAGGCAGCAGUGGGGAAUUUUGGACAAUGGGCGAAAGCCUGAUCCAGCAAUGCCGCGUGCAGGAUGAAGGCCUUCGGGUUGUGAACUGCUUUUGUACGGAACGAAAAGCUUCGGGUUAAUACCCUGGAGUCAUGACGGUACCGUAAGAAUAAGCACCGGCUAACUACGUG
rnacentral:rRNA from 1 species